GAUGAACGCUGGCGGCGUGCUUAACACAUGCAAGUCGAGCGAGAAAAGUUCUUCGGAGCUUUUCUAGCGGCGGACGGGUGAGUAACACGUGGGCAACCUGCCUCAUAGAGGGGAAUAGCCCUCCGAAAGGAAGAUUAAUACCGCAUAAUAUUGUUGAAAGGCAUCUUUUAACAAUCAAAGGAGCAAUUCGCUAUGAGAUGGGCCCGCGGCGCAUUAGCUAGUUUGUGAGGUAACGGCUCACCAAGGCGACGAUGCGUAGCCGACCUGAGAGGGUGAUCGGCCACAUUGGAACUGAGACACGGUCCAGACUCCUACGGGAGGCAGCAGUGGGGAAUAUUGCACAAUGGGGGAAACCCUGAUGCAGCAACGCCGCGUGAGUGAUGAAGGUCUUCGGAUUGUAAAGCUCUGUCUUUAGGGACGAUAAUGACGGUACCUAAGGAGGAAGCCACGGCUAACUACGUGCCAGCCGCCGCGGUAAAAC
rnacentral:rRNA from 1 species